AGUGGCGGACGGGUGAGUAACACGUAAGAAUUUGCCUUUAGGAGGGGGACAACAACUGGAAACGGUUGCUAAUACCCCAUAUGCUUUCGAGUGAAAUGGAUUUUUCCGCCUAAAGAGAAGCUUGCGGCUGAUUAGCUUGUUGGUGAGGUAAUGGCUCACCAAGGCGACGAUCAGUAUCUGGUUUGAGAGGAUGAUCAGACACACUGGAACUGAGACACGGUCCAGACUCCUACGGGAGGCAGCAGUGGGGAAUUUUCCGCAAUGGGCGAAAGCCUGACGGAGCAAUACCGCGUGAGGGAUGACGGCCUAUGGGUUGUAAACCUCUUUUUUCAGGGAGGAAUCAAUGACGUGUACCUGAAGAAUAAGCAUCGGCUAACUCCGUGCCAGCAGCCGCGGUAAGACGGGGGAUGCAAGUGUUAUCCGGAAUCACUGGGCGUAAAGCGUCUGUAGGUGGUCCAAUAAGUCAACUGUUAAAUCUUGAGGCUCAACCUCAAAAUCGCAGUCGAAACUAUUAGACUAGAGUAUAGUAGGGGUAAAGGGAAUUUCCAGUGGAGCGGUGAAAUGCGUAGAGAUUGGAAAGAACACCGAUGGCGAAGGCACUUUACUGGGCUAUUACUAACACUCAGAGACGAAAGCUAGGGUAGCAAAUGGGAUUAGAUACCCCAGUAGUCCUAGCCGUAAACAAUGGAUACUAGAUGUU
rnacentral:rRNA from 1 species